rnacentral:rRNA from 1 species
AUAGCGGCAGACGACUGAGUAACACGUAGACAACUUACCCUUAACACAGAGAUAGCCACGCGAAAGUGUGGGUAAUAUCUGAUAGCCCGUAUAGGUGAAAUUCCGGUACGGUAAAGGCGCAAGCCGGUUUUGGAGAGGUCUGCGGCCCAUCAGCUAGUUGGCAGGAUAACAGCCUACCAAGGCGAGGACGGGUAGGGGGCGUGAGAGCGCGACCCCCCAGGAUGGCACUGAGACACGGGCCAUACUCCUACGGGAGGCAGCACUCGGGAAUUUUCCACAAUGGACGAAAGUCUGAUGGAGCGACGCCGCGUGAAGGAUGAAGGUUUUCGGAUCGUAAACUUCUUUUGCCAAGGAAUAGGAAGGAAGGUACUUGGCGAAUAAGGGGCUGCUAACUGCGUGCCAGAAGCAUCGGUGAUACGUGGGCCCCAAGCGUUGUCCGGAUUUAUUGGGCGUAAAGCGAACGUAGGCGGUUAAGAGGAUUUUGUUUCAAAGCCCCCAGCUCACCUGGGGAAAGGGAUAGAAUAUCGCUUGACUUGAAUUGAGGAGGGGAGAUCGGAACGCGUGGUGGAGCGGUGAAAUGUGUUGAUAUCACGCGGAACGCCGGUGACGAAGGUUGAUCUCUGGUCUCAUAUUGACGCUCAUGUUCGAAAGCUAGGGGAGCGAAACGGAUUAGAUACCCGUGUAGUCCUAGCCCUAAAUGAUGUCUGUUAGGCGUUGGAUUAAGCGUUUUUGUUCCUUCGGGAGCUCUAAUGACAAUUCAGUGUCGAAGUUAACACGUUAAACAGACCGCCUGGGUAGUACGGCCGCAAGGUUGAAACUCAAAGGAAUUGGCGGGGACCCGCACAAGUUGUGGAGCGCGUGGUUUAAUCCGACGGUAAUCGUAUAAUCUUACCAAGGUUUGACAUACUGCUGCAGUCCAUAAGAAAUUGAGGACGCCUUCGAGGGUGCAGUACAGGUGCUGCAUGGCCGUCGUCAGCUCGUGCCGUGAGGUGUACCGUUAAGUCGGGUAACGAGCGAAACCCCUAUCCCAUGUUACAAGUGUCUUGGGAAACUGCCGUGGUAAAACACGGAGGAAGGGGGGGAUGACGUCUGGUCGUCAUGGCCCUUAUACCUUGGGCUACACACACGCUACAAUGGUUGGGACAGCGAGUUGCUACACUGCGAAGUGAUGCUAAUCUCAUAAACCCAACCCUAGUUCAGAUUGCAGGCUGAAACUCGCCUGCAUGAAGCCGG